rnacentral:lncRNA from 1 species
GUGGGCCUUCCGAAUGCCAAUGUAUGCGGAUGGAUGGCCUAAGAGAUUGAGAAGUUUUGAAAUGCAAAUGAACGAGCUUAAGCACAUAUUACACGUAGAAAUGGUGGAAAUUCGCUUUCCUGGGUCUUGGAAUAGUUCCUCCUUGGGGAAAAAUCUAGCUUGGACAUUAGCUUGAUGUAUUCAAAAUGGAGUGUUGGCGUUGGGCAGGUUCGAAAACAUCAUUAUGUUGUAACCCCAACACCAGACUCGACAGGAACUGUAUAUGGCUUUGGAGAAUGAAGUUCAAUAUAUGAAUUAUCCAUAGAGACCAGUAGGCCUAUUGCAAAUCCCUGCGGUGGAGUGCUAGGAGCCAGAGGUGCUGAAUUCUCCUGCAGUUCUAUAAAUGAACUAAGCCACACUUACUGACUCUGUUACUGAAAACCAGUUGCCUAAACAUUUUGUGUCUGUUUCAUUAUUUGUAAAGUGAGAAAUGUACUUACUGAACAGGGUCAUCACAGGAGACAAAGAUGAUUGUGAAAGAGCCUUGUAAAGGGUACAUCUGAACCCCAAAUUAUCAAUAAGUGCUCAUUGGCUGUGCCUCACAAGAGCUCAGAGAUCACUGAGUCUAGUUCAAUGCACUUAAAUUACGACAUGGAAAUGGAGGCACCAAGAGGUGAGUAUCCUAUCCAGAGUCACACAGCUCUACAGAGAUAUGGAAGCAAUAUCAUAAAAUUCAAUCAUGUCAUAUUUCAUUUCCAUGAAAAUAAACUAAAAAAAAACUUGGAAGAUGAGAACUUUGGAUAAUUUGAGUCUGAAGUACUUCAUACUACUUUAAGUUACCUCCUAUUGGGGGCAUUAUAAAUGGGUAAGCAGAGA